UGACAACUGAUUUGUGUAUUACAGCGCCC
rnacentral:sRNA from 1 species